UCUCACUUUCCUACCUCGUCGCCGCCCAAUCUUCUCGGCUCUUCUCCCCGACCUCUCCUACAUCAAGCUCCAUGGGCUCUCCGGCGAACACGCCAUGCUGCUGAUGUGAGGAUAAGCCAUGGCCUGCGAGCUCAUAGAAUUAGGGGUGACCAUGGCCUGUGAGCUCUCACUGCAAAAUACAGCGGGGGCGGCGAGCGAUCCCAUGGCUGGUGCUGCAAACGAGGUGGCUGCCGGCGGAUUGGACGGCGAGGUCGU
rnacentral:rRNA from 1 species